AUAAUGAUACUUCCGUAAAACGCGGCUCGGCCACAGAGAAGGCGGAGAGAUGAGAUUUCUAUGG
ncrna:unclassified sequences pemK RNA